rnacentral:rRNA from 1 species
UACGUAGGGGGCAAGCGUUGUCCGGAAUCAUUGGGCGUAAAGAGCGUGUAGGCGGCUCGGUAAGUCCGCUCUGAAAGCCCGGGGGCUCAACCCCGGGAGGCGGGCGGAUACUGUCGGGCUAGAGUCCGGAAGAGGCGAGUGGAAUUCCUGGUGUAGCGGUGAAAUGCGCAGAUAUCAGGAAGAACACCCGUGGCUAAGGCGGCUCUCUAGUACGGUACUGACGCUGAGACGCGAAAGCGUGGGGAGCGAACAGG